rnacentral:rRNA from 1 species
GCCGGCGACGGUUCAUUCAAAUUUCUGCCCUAUCAACUUUCGAUGGUAAGGUAUUGGCUUACCAUGGUUUCAACGGGUAACGGGGAAUUAGGGUUCGAUUCCGGAGAGGGAGCCUGAGAAACGGCUACCACAUCCAAGGAAGGCAGCAGGCGCGCAAAUUACCCAAUUCCGAUACGGAGAGGUAGUGACAAUAAAUACUGAUACAGGGCUCUUUUGGGUCUUGUAAUUGGAAGGAGUACAAUUUAAACCUCUUAACGAGGAACAAUUGGAGGGCAAGUCUGGUGCCAGCAGCCGCGGUAAUUCCAGCUCCAAUAGCGUAUAUUAAAGUUGUUGCAGUUAAAAAGCUCGUAGUUGAACCUUUGGCCUGGCUGGCAGGUCCGCCUCACCGCGUGCACUUGUCCGGCCGGGCCUUUUCUUCUGGAGAACCGCAUGCCCUUCACUGGGUGUGUUGGGGACCAGGACUUUUACUUUGAAAAAAUUAGAGUGUUCAAAGCAGGCCUUUGCUCGAAUACGUUAGCAUGGAAUAAUAGAAUAGGACGUGCGGUCCUAUUUUGUUGGUUUCUAGGACCGCCGUAAUGAUUAAUAGGGACAGUCGGGGGCAUCAGUAUUCA